rnacentral:rRNA from 1 species
GGUGAACGCUGGCGGCGUGCUUAAGACAUGCAAGUCGAACGGCAGUCUUCGGACUGUAGUGGCGCACGGGUGAGUAACGCGUAACUGACCUACCCCAAAGUCGCGGAUAACGAUUCGAAAGAAUCGCUAAUACGUGAUGUGCUGUCAGAUUGUGUUCUGCCAGUAAAGAUUGAUUGCUUUGGGAUGGGGUUGCGUUCCAUCAGCUAGUUGGUGGGGUAAAGGCCCACCAAGGCGACGACGGGUAGCCGGCCUGAGAGGGUGGCCGGCCACAGGGGCACUGAGACGCGGGUCACACUCCUACGGGAGGCAGCAGUUAGGAAUCUUCCACAAUGGGCGAAAGCCUGAUGGAGCGACGCCGCGUGAGGGAUGAAGGUCUUCGGAUCGUAAACCUCUGAAUCAGGGACGAAAGACACUUCGGUGGGAUGACGGUACCUGAGUAAUAGCACCGGCUAACUCCGUGCCAGCCGCCGCCGUAAGAC